AUUGAACGCUGGCGGCAGGCCUAACACAUGCAAGUCGAGCGGAGCGGCGGACGGGUGAGUACUGCCGAGGAAUCUGCCCGGUAGUGGGGGAUAAAGUACGGAAACGGGAGCUUAUACCGCAUACUUUCAGUUGAGAAUCGGGUGGCUUAGCUAGCUGGUGGGGUAAAGGCCUACCAAGGCGACGAUGCGUAGCUGCUCUGAGAGGAUGAUCGGUCACACUGGAACUGAGACACGGUCCAGACUCCUACGGGAGGCAGCAGUGGGGAAUAUUCGGCAAUGGGCGAAAGCCUGAUGCAGCCAUGCCGCGUGUGUGAAGAAGGUCUUCGGAUUGUAAAACACUUUAAGUUGGGAGGCGGUACCAACAGAAAAAGCACCGGCUAACUACGUGCCAGCAGCCGCGGUAAUAC
rnacentral:rRNA from 1 species